rnacentral:rRNA from 1 species
GACGAACGCUGGCGGCGUGCUUAACACAUGCAAGUCGAACGCUGAAGCUUGGUGCUUGCACUGGGUGGAUGAGUGGCGAACGGGUGAGUAAUACGUGAGUAACCUGCCCUUGACUCUGGGAUAAGCCUGGGAAACUGGGUCUAAUACUGGAUACGACAUGUCACCGCAUGGUGGUGUGUGGAAAGGGUUUUACUGGUUUUGGAUGGGCUCACGGCCUAUCAGCUUGUUGGUGGGGUAAUGGCUCACCAAGGCGACGACGGGUAGCCGGCCUGAGAGGGUGACCGGCCACACUGGGACUGAGACACGGCCCAGACUCCUACGGGAGGCAGCAGUGGGGAAUAUUGCACAAUGGGCGGAGGCCUGAUGCAGCGACGCCGCGUGAGGGAUGACGGCCUUCGGGUUGUAAACCUCUUUCAGCACGGAAGAAGCGAAAGUGACGGUACGUGCAGAAGAAGCGCCGGCUAACUACGUG